GUGUCACAGUGGAUCCUUGGUUCCAUGAGGUCUGGCAGGGCAGCAAUGCUCUCCUUGGUUCCCGCUGUCUCCCAUGCCCCCACUGUCAGGCUAUAGAAGGACACCUGGCCGAUGAAGGGGAGUGGGAGUGGGUACCUGCUCGAGGAGGGAGACUGGGCCACUCCCUGAAGCUCAAAGCAUGAAGCCAGUCAGUUGAGAGGCCCUUGAAUGAGCAGAAAGCAUCUGGAGGAGCAACAGGAAGCACAUAGGAGAACAGGAGCAACAGGAAGGACAUAGAUCCAGCUGACACAGUGAAGAGAUGUCCACAUGCAUGGUCAUUUAAAAAGGAGAGCUGGAAACAUCUGAAGGAAGAGGAAGAUGAUAUAAUAAACAGAAUAUUGGUGACUCAA